rnacentral:rRNA from 1 species
AACGAACGUUGGCGGCAUGGAUUAGGCAUGCAAGUCGAGGGAAUCCGCCGCAAGGCGGGGAACCGGCGUAAGGGGCAGUAAGGCAUGGGUACCUACCCCGGGGUUCGGAAUAGCCACCAG